AGUGAACGCUGGCGGCGUGCCUAAUACAUGCAAGUCGAACGGAGUGGCGCCCGGGUGAGUACUAUAUAUCUAACUUUCCCAUUACUAAGGGACAACAGUUGGAAACGACUGCUCAUACCUUCUAGUAAUGGAUAGGUCUAUAUCGUAUCAGAUAGUUGGUAAGGUAACGGCUUACCAAGGCUAUGACGCGUAACUGGUCUGAGAGGAUGAUCAGUCACACUGGAAAGGAGACACGGGCGAGACGCAUAAGGGAGGGAGCAGUAGGGAAUAGUGCUCAAUGGGGGAAACCCAGAAGCAGCAACGCCGCGUGGAGGAUGAGACUUUUCGGAGCGUAAACUACGUUUCGUGGGAAAGCGGUACCGAAGGAAUAAGCACCGGCUAACGCCGUGCCAGCAGCCGCGGUAAUAC
rnacentral:rRNA from 1 species